rnacentral:rRNA from 1 species
GACAGAGGUGGCGAGCGUUGUUCGGAAUUACUGGGCUUAAAGGGCGAGUAGGCGGUGGAGCAAGUCUGAGGUGGAAUCCUAUGGCUUAACCAUAGAACUGCCUUAGAAACUGUUUCACUUGAGUCAGUGAGGGGAGGGCGGAAUUCCCGGUGUAGCGGUGAAAUGCGUAGAUAUCGGGAGGAAGGCCGGUGGCGAAGGCGGCCCUCGGGCACUGUACUGACGAUGAGGCGCGAAAGCGUGGGGAGCAAACAGG